GCUUGUCUCAAAGAUUAAGCCAUGCAUGUCUAAGUUUAAACUGCUAAACUGUGAAACUGCGAAUGGCUCAUUAAAUCAGUUGUAGUUUAUUUGAUGGUACCUUACUACUCGGAUAACCGUAGUAAUUCUAGAGCUAAUACGUGCGCACAACCCGACUUCUGGAAGGGUCGUAUUUAUUAGAUAAAAGGCCAGCCGGGCUUCGGCCUGACUCGCGGUGAAUCAUGAUAACUUCACGAAUCGAAUGGGCUUGUCCCGUCGAUGCUUCAAAUAAGCUUCUGCCCUAUCAACUUUCGAUGGUAGGAUAUUGGCCUACCAUGGUGGUAACGGGUGACGGAGGAUUAGGGUUCGAUUCCGGAGAGGGAGCCUGAGAGAUGGCUACCACAUCCAAGGAAGGCAGCAGG
rnacentral:rRNA from 1 species